rnacentral:ncRNA from 1 species
GAAAAAUAUCUGGGGUGCCUAUUAUUUGUUUGGCUGAGAAUAUACCCAUAUAACCUGAUCAGAUUAGAAUCUGCGUAGGAAGAUGUGAUUAAUAAUAU